UUUGAUCUGUACCUGGGGACAAAUUAUUGGCAUGAAGUUCAGUUCAGUGGUCCAACUUCAGUUAAUUGGAUGGACAUCAUAGUUGCAGCUCCUGCUGAUUACCUGCAAGUUUGUUUGGUGAACAAAGGGAUGGGAACUCCAUUUAUAUCUGGGCUGGAUUUGAGGCCAUUGAAGAGUACUCUUUAUCCAGAGUCAAAUUCUAGUCAAUCUCUUGUGCUGAUCAAUUCUAAUCGGUUUAACAUGGGGCCCACAGACAAUUCCAUAGUCCGGUGAGUUUGAAUUUAGUUCUGAAUGUAUGAAAUUUCAACUGGCCAAGUCAGUCUAAUCACCCUGUUGAUUGAUAAAAGUAGAAACUGUGAUGAUGCAAAUAUUUCGUACACCACGAUAUCUUGUGGACUUGUUGAAAAUAAAUAGGAAAAGGAAAAGAAACCACUUUUAUGAAUGAC
rnacentral:lncRNA from 1 species